CCUACGGGUGGCAGCAGUGAGGAAUAUUGGUCAAUGGUCGCAAGUCUGAACCAGCCAAGCCGCGUGCGGGAUGACGGUACUGUGAGUUGUAAACUGCUUUUGUCAGGGAACAAAGGCAGAUACGUGUCUCUGUAUGAGUGUACCGUAAGAAUAAGCAUCGGCUAACUCCGUGCCAGCAGCCGCGGUAAUACGGAGGAUGCGAGCGUUAUCCGGAUUUAUUGGGUUUAAAGGGUGCGUAGGCGGUCGGUUAAGUUAGAGGUGAAAUCCCGAGGCUCAACCCCGGCAGUGCCGUUGAAACUGGCCGGCUCGAGAGGAGGAGAGGUAUGCGGAAUGCACGGUGUAGCGGUGAAAUGCAUAGAGAUCGUGCAGAACUCCGAUUGCGAAGGCAGCUUACCGG
rnacentral:rRNA from 1 species